GACGUAGGAGGCGAGCGUUGUCCGGAGUUACUGGGCGUAAAGCGCGCGCAGGCGGUCACGCAGGUCAUCUGUGAAAGCACUCGGCUCAACCGGGUUGUUGCGGGUGAAACCGCGUGACUUGAGGGUGGGAGAGGUCGGUGGAAUUCCCGGUGUAGUGGUGAAAUGCGUAGAUAUCUGGAGGAACACCGGUGGCGAAGGCGGCAUCCUGGACCGGUAUUGACGCUGAGGCGCGAAAGCCAGGGGAGCAAACGGG
rnacentral:rRNA from 1 species